rnacentral:rRNA from 1 species
AGUGAACGCUGGCGGUAGGCCUAACACAUGCAAGUCGAGCGGCAGCACACUAAGAGCUUGCUCUUACGGGUGGCGAGUGGCGGACGGGUGAGGAAUACAUCGGAAUCUACUUUUUCGUGGGGGAUAACGUAGGGAAACUUACGCUAAUACCGCAUACGACCUACGGGUGAAAGCAGGGGAUCUUCGGACCUUGCGCGAUUGAAUGAGCCGAUGUCGGAUUAGCUAGUUGGCGGGGUAAAGGCCCACCAAGGCGACGAUCCGUAGCUGGUCUGAGAGGAUGAUCAGCCACACUGGAACUGAGACACGGUCCAGACUCCUACGGGAGGCAGCAGUGGGGAAUAUUGGACAAUGGGCGCAAGCCUGAUCCAGCCAUACCGCGUGGGUGAAGAAGGCCUUCGGGUUGUAAAGCCCUUUUGUUGGGAAAGAAAAGCAGCAGGUUAAUACCCCGCUGUUCUGACGGUACCCAAAGAAUAAGCACCGGCUAACUUCGUG